UACGAAGGGGGCUAGCGUUGCUCGGAAUCACUGGGCGUAAAGGGUGCGUAGGCGGGUCUUUAAGUCAGGGGUGAAAUCUUGGAGCUCAACUCCAGAACUGCCUUUGAUACUGGCGAUCUUCGAGUCCGGGAGAGGUGAGUGGAACUGCGAGUGUAGAGGUGAAAUUCGUAGAUAUUCGCAAGAACACCAGUGGCGAAGGCGG
rnacentral:rRNA from 1 species